rnacentral:rRNA from 1 species
CCUACGGGAGGCAGCAGUGAGGAAUAUUGGUCAAUGGACGAGAGUCUGAACCAGCCAAGUAGCGUGAAGGAUGACUGCCCUAUGGGUUGUAAACUUCUUUUAUAUGGGAAUAAAAUGUUCCACGUGUGGGAUUUUGUAUGUACCAUAUGAAUAAGGAUCGGCUAACUCCGUGCCAGCAGCCGCGGUAAUACGGAUGAUCCGAGCGUUAUCCGGAUUUAUUGGGUUUAAAGGGAGCGUAGGUGGAUUGUUAAGUCAGUUGUGAAAGUUUGCGGCUCAACCGUAAAAUUGCAGUUGAAACUGGCAGUCUUGAGUACAGUAGAGGUGGGCGGAAUUCGUGGUGUAGCGGUGAAAUGCUUAGAUAUCACGAAGAACUCCGAUUGCGAAGGCAGUUCACUGGACUGCAACUGACACUGAGGCUCGAAAGUGUGGGUAUCAAACAGGAUUAGAUACCCGAGUAGUC